rnacentral:rRNA from 1 species
GGUCAAGUGAAGAAGCGCAUACGGUGGAUGCCUUGGCAGUCAGAGGCGAUGAAAGACGUGGUAGCCUGCGAAAAGCUUCGGGGAGUCGGCAAACAGACUUUGAUCCGGAGAUGUCUGAAUGGGGGAACCCAGCCAUCAUAAGAUGGUUACCUUACACUGAAUACAUAGGUGUAUGGAGCGAACCAGGGGAACUGAAACAUCUAAGUACCCUGAGGAAAAGAAAUCAACCGAGAUUCCCUUAGUAGUGGCGAGCGAACGGGGACUAGCCCUUAAGUGGCUUUGAGAUUAGCGGAACGCUCUGGAAAGUGCGGCCAUAGUGGGUGAUAGCCCUGUACGCGAAAAUCUCUUAGUCAUGAAAUCGAGUAGGACGGAGCACGAGAAACUUUGUCUGAAUAUGGGGGGACCAUCCUCCAAGGCUAAAUACUACUGACUGACCGAUAGUGAACCAGUACCGUGAGGGAAAGGCGAAAAGAACCCCGGAGAGGGGAGUGAAAUAGAUCCUGAAACCGUAUGCGUACAAGCAGUGGGAGCAGACUUUGUUCUGUGACUGCGUACCUUUUGUAUAAUGGGUCAGCGACUUAUUUUCAGUGGCGAGCUUAACCGAAUAGGGGAGGCGUAGCGAAAGCGAGUCUUAAUAGGGCGUCUAGUCGCUGGGAAUAGACCCGAAACCGGGCGAUCUAUCCAUGGGCAGGUUGAAGGUUGGGUAACACUAACUGGAGGACCGAACCGACUAC